rnacentral:lncRNA from 1 species
UGUGUUUUCCAUAGAGGCUACACAGGAUGAAGCUCAAAAGCAGGUAUCAGACCUUGACAAAAAACUAAAGAUUCAGCCAGAGUAGUCAAUGAAGACUGAAGUCAUCUGCCUCUGUAUAUUCAUAUAGCUCCAGAGAAGAAGUUGCUGUCUUUUUCACAUUGAGGCUGAGAUGACAGGGCCCAGUGCUGGCAGUAGGAUAUUCUUGGGGAGUCCAUCUUCUAUUUCACAACCCAGAUGAGCUGUUAGUUUGCUGUUGUUGACAAUGCCUGGCACCAAAUUAUUAGAGGAAUGCUAGGGAGUAAAUUAG